GAUGAAGAACGCAACGAAAUGCGAUAAGUAAUGUGAAUUGCAGAAUUCAGUGAAUCAUCGAAUCUUUGAACGCACAUUGCGCCCCUUGGUAUUCCGGGGGGCAUGCCUGUUCGAGCGUCAUUACAACCCUCAAGCUCUGCUUGGUCUUGGGCGUCACCGGUCCCCGGUGUGCCUUAAAAUCAGUGGCGGCGCCAUCUGGCUCUAAGCGUAGUACAUACUCUCGCUACAGACGUCCGGUGGAUGCUGGCCAGCAACCCCCAAUUUAUCAAGGUUGACCUCGGAUCAGGUAGGGAUACCCGCUGAACUUAAGCAUAUCAAUAAGCGGAGGA
rnacentral:misc_RNA from 1 species